rnacentral:rRNA from 1 species
CACGUAGGGGGCGAGCGUUGUCCGGAUUUAUUGGGCGUAAAGAGCUCGUAGGCGGCUCGGUAAGUCGGGUGUGAAAACUCUAGGCUCAACCUAGAGACGCCACCUGAUACUGCUGUGGCUAGAGUCCGGUAGGGGAGCAUGGAAUUCCUGGUGUAGCGGUGAAAUGCGUAGAUAUCUGAAGGAACAUCAGUGGCGAAAGCGACUUCCUGGACCAAUACUGACGCUCAUGUGCGAAAGCGUGGGGAGCAAACAGG